AACGAACGCUGGCGGCAUGCCUAACACAUGCAAGUCGAACGAUAUCUUUGGGUAUAGUGGCGCAAGGGCGCGUAAUGCGUGGGAACCUGCUCUUAGGUUCGGAACAACUCCAUGAAAGGGGUGCUAAUCCCGGAUAAUGCUUUCGGACCAAAGAUCGGACGACGUAGGAUGGGCUCGAAUGGCAUUAGCUAGUUGGUAGGGUAAACGCCUACCAAGGUGACGAUCCAUAGAUGGUCAGAGAGGAUGAUCAGCCACACUGAGAGUGGGACACGGCCCGGACUCCUGCAGGAGGCGGCAGUGCGUAAUGUUGGCCAGUGGGCUGGAUCCGGAUCCAGCUAUGCCGCGUGAGUAAUGAAAGCCUGAGGGUGGUGAAGCUCGUUUACCCGGGAUGAUAAUGACAGUACCGGGAGAAUAAGCUCGGGCUAACUCCGUG
rnacentral:rRNA from 1 species